AACGAACGCUGGCGGCAUGCCUAAUACAUGCAAGUCGAACGAGAUCUUCGGAUCUAGUGGCGCACGGGUGCGUAGCGCGUGGGAAUCUGCCCUUGGGUUCGGAAUAACUUCUGGAAACGGAAGCUAAUACCGGAUGAUGACGUAAGUCCAAAGAUUUAUCGCCCAAGGAUGAGCCCGCGUAGGAUUAGCUAGUUGGUGGGGUAAAGGCCCACCAAGGCGACGAUCCUUAGCUGGUCUGAGAGGAUGAUCAGCCACACUGGGACUGAGACACGGCCCAGACUCCUACGGGAGGCAGCAGUAGGGAAUAUUGGACAAUGGGCGAAAGCCUGAUCCAGCAAUGCCGCGUGAGUGAUGAAGGCCUUAGGGUUGUAAAGCUCUUUUACCCGGGAUGAUAAUGACAGUACCGGGAGAAUAAGCUCCGGCUAACUCCGUG
rnacentral:rRNA from 1 species